rnacentral:rRNA from 1 species
UACGAGGGUGCAAGCGUUGCUCGGAAUUAUUGGGCGUAAAGGGUAGGUAGGUGGUCUCAUUUGUCUGGGGUGAAAUCCUUGGGCUUAACUCAAGAAGUGCCCCAGAAACGGUGAGACUAGAGUACUGGAGAGGCGAGUGGAAUUCCCGGUGUAGCGGUGAAAUGCGUAGAGAUGGGAAGGAACACCAGUCGGCGAAGGCGACUACCUGGCCUGUUCUUGACGCUGAGG